rnacentral:rRNA from 1 species
UACGGGGGGAGCAAGCGUUGUUCGGAUUUACUGGGCGUAAAGGGCGCGUAGGCGGCGAGCACAAGUCAGUUGUGAAAUCUCCGAGCUUAACUCGGAAAGGUCAACUGAUACUGUGCGGCUAGAGUGCGGAAGGGGCAACUGGAAUUAUUGGUGUAGCGGUGGAAUGCGUAGAGAUCCCCAAGAACACCAAUUGCGAAGGCAGCCAGCUGGGUCCACAUUGACGCUGAGGCUCGAAAGCAUGGGGAGCAAACAGG